GACGAACGCUGGCGGCGUGCCUAAUACAUGCAAGUUGAGCGCUGAAGGUUGGUACUUGUACCAACUGGAUGAGCAGCGAACGGGUGAGUAACGCGUGGGGAAUCUGCCUUUGAGCGGGGGACAACAUUUGGAAACGAAUGCUAAUACCGCAUAAAAACUUUAAACACAAGUUUUAAGUUUGAAAGAUGCAAUUGCAUCACUCAAAGAUGAUCCCGCGUUGUAUUAGCUAGUUGGUGAGGUAAAGGCUCACCAAGGCGAUGAUACAUAGCCGACCUGAGAGGGUGAUCGGCCACAUUGGGACUGAGACACGGCCCAAACUCCUACGGGAGGCAGCAGUAGGGAAACUUCGGCAAUGGACGAAAGUCUGACCGAGCAACGCCGCGGGAGUGAAGAAGGUUUUCGGAUCGUAAAACUCUGUUGGUAGAGAAGAACGUUGGUGAGAGUGGAAAGCUCAUCAAGUGACGGUAACUACCCAGAAAGGGACGGCUAACUACGUG
rnacentral:rRNA from 1 species